AUCCUAUUGAUUAUGCAUAACAUUAUAAAAAUGUUUCUUCUAGAUUGUGACAUGAAGUUGCAUCAACAGGAGUUUGGUGAGCCUUAUAUACAGAAGACAGAAUUGCUAAUGAAUAGUGUGCUUCACAGUGAAAACGAUGUGUAUAUACAAGAACAGGACCUAAGUAAGAGUCAGCUGCACUACUUGAAAACAGACAAUAUUGAAUAGUGGAGAACUAGACAUCUCAACAUUUUCAAAUAUUUUUCAGAUAUCUUCAGAAAAAUCUUCACAAAUAGCUAUUUAUGAAGUUAAAUUAUUGCUGUGUAAAAGACAAGUUUUAUCAUAAAUCAAAAACUGACUAAAAUAAAACAAAAAAAACCCCAUGAGAAUAAUUAAUUUUUUAGCAAUGGGUAAAGAAUGACUGUGGCUUACAGCAAAAAACAAUGUUCUGCAGCGUGUUAUUCACUGAUGAGGUGGAAAAGGUGGAAACAAUGAUACUGAAGAUCCAAAAAAUUUUGAUGAUUGAGAAGAUUUUUAACUCAACCAUGGAGAAAAAUCACAGCUAAUAGAGGAAAAGCAACACAAAUGGAAUUAUUUGAAUACUUGUGCCCAAAAUUUGGUUUUGUCAGCUUAGGAUACGAAUGUGGCUUUUUAUUGAACAUAUUAAGUCCACUAGCUAAGAUAAUAUCCGAAAAAAAAAAAAGUCUAAGUGAAAAACUAAAUCAAAGAAUAAUAUGGAAAUGUGUGCUCGUAUGCUCUCAUCUGCAAUACAUGUUCUUGUUUUUGGCCUCUUCAUAAGCACAUUUUAGAGGGCAUUCAGUGUUAAGGUAUAAGACAGAUAGGGACUGAAAAACCUGUUCGUUUCAAGAAACUGGAAAUAUUGUCAGCAUGAAUCACUGGUUUACGCAGAGUAAACCAAGAUGAUUUGUAGGGAAAAUACAUAGUUUGGACUAUCUGCUUCUUUUUACAUGUCUUUCACAUUAUCUUUUUCUCCCUUUCCUCCUCAUAUUGGCAUUGUUAAUGCAAUUUCAUAUUUUCCAGAAUGUGUAUGGAACUGGUGAGAGUUUUCUAAACCCUCAUGAUCAAAUUUUAUAUCAAGCUGCACAAAGUGCCCUCAUUUGGCCUGUAGAACAGAAGAACAACUGCAGUUUUUUAAAUAGGUACAUGAAAAACCACAUAUUUUAAAUAAGAGAGGAGAAAGAGACUAGGAAGGCACAGGAAUAUGACUAAAUUAAUUUGGAACAUUAUGAAUUUUUUUUUGGUAGGUUAUAUGUGAUUCACAGCCAUCAUGCACUUUAAAGUGUAUUUUUUAUUUGGAAUGUUUCUAAGCGUUGCUGGCACCUUCACAACGAGGAGGGAGUUGGCAAACAAAAAAGAGGAGAAAGGAAAUUAAUGGACAGGAUAAGAGAAAAUGAUCAGAGUAUUAAGAUGUAAACUCUGGCAUUUACUCAGAAAGAUGAAAAUAUGAGAAUGACUGAUAUUUUCAAAGUAAUGUACAUCAUGUGGAAUAAAGAGGAAUCUUCUGAGUCUAGGAUUUUGGGAAGGCUGCUACCUAAACCUUGAAAUAGGAUGUUCCCCUGGAUUUAUGAAAACAAACAAAUAUGCCAAUUUGCAUAACCUAGAGGAGGUAAUACUAAAAAUAAUUCUAAAAAUUGUUAGUGUUUUAAAAUUAUGAUGUUAUCAAGAUUGCUGUGCAUAUUAGAUAUGCAUACACCAGGAAGAAAUAUAUAGUCAGUUUGUAAAUACAAUCCUUACUAAAUAUUCCCAAUCGAAAGGAGAAUCAUUGAGAGAUUUAUUUGUAGGAAAAACUGCAAGUUUUGUUUUCAGAGGAGAGAAAACCAAACACAUCCCAUGGUUGCUAAUUUAAUCUUCACUGCAGGUACUGAGAAACAUCAACAGUCACUUCAAAGAAAUUUUGUAUGCACCAUAUUUUGUCUUCCACUACGCAAAUAGAAAGUCCUGUCUCAGUAAAACCAGUUUCAUUGCUGCUUAACACUAGGGUGGCCUUUGCAAAAUAUGUCAGUAAAGAGAUUUAGAGAUGUCCUGUGGUCCAUUAAGCAGGUGUUAGAUACAGAGAUGGAUUGCUAUCCUGCAGGGCUGCAAAGUCACUAAUGUCUUUGUACUGAUCAGUCAUUUAGCACAGAUAGCUAUCAGCAUGCUAUCUCAUAUGAGGGUUAUUGCAGGGGAGCAAUAGAACAGAAAGUUAUCUGCAGUAGAAGUGAUUUUCCUCAUGUCAUAAUUAAGUACAAGCUUUACAUGAGCCUGGAUUGUCUCAAGUCUUUCUAACGUUUGUUUCCUGAGUUAAUGACUGAUUUAAGACUCAUCGCUAUGCGUGCAUAAUUAGGGCUGCUUUUCUAAAUAUGCCUUAUGUUGCCUUUAUUCAUCUUUUAUCAAUAUUCAAUAUCCUCUGUUAUUCCAUUAUUCAAUUACAUUUAAGAGAUAGCACUACACUGAUUAACUUGAAUAAUUUGGUAUCAGUAUUGAAUUUGUCAAUAAUUUUCCCAUUUCUUUUGUGAAAUCAUAGUAUCUUUGUAUCAGCAUCCAUAGCAUAGAUGUAUACUGUUGAUCUUCUUCCAUUAGAAAACUUUAUUAUUUAUUCCUAUCUUUCUUUCUUACCUUUAAAAUAUAUUAACCAUGAAAAAAUCAUGCCCUUUUUCUUCUGUUUUCUUGUCAAAGUCUUUGGUGAAGGUCAGUGUCCAAAUUUCUUUUUGAAAUUAAUGAGUGCAAUUGCAGUAUGAUCAUCUGAAUGCACUUUGACAAUUUCAAUGAACCCUGAAGAGUUUACGAUGCAUUAUUUUCUUUAUUUCCUGUAUCAACACUACUUCAGUAUACAGUACAUGUCUGUGGGAUGCACUUAAAUUAGUACUUUAGUUCAGAUCACGAUGUACUUUUCAGAUCCAUCUCCUGUUUAUCCCUAAUUAGAAUCACAGAAUUCUUAAGAUUGGAAAAGAUCUGAAGAGGUUACUGAUCCAACUUCCUGCUCAGAACAGGUUUAUCUAUGGUAUUUAACCAGGUUUCUCAGCACUUGUUUCAGUUAGAUCUUGAAAACCUUCAAGGAUGGAGAUUGCAUUGUGUCUUUGGACAACUUCUUCCAGUUCUGGGUGGUGAAAAAGUUUUCCUUAACUUCAGGUGGAGCCUCUUCUGUUUCAGUUAAUGCCUACUGCCUCUAAUUUUCCUGUCAUGCACCACUACCAAAAGUCUGAAUCCAUAUUCUUAGUAUACUAUGCAUAGGUAUUGAAAGACCCCAUUUCUCUUCACAUGCAGGUGGUUCAUCCCUGGUUGAUCUAUGCUAACUAUUUUCAAGAACCUUUUAUCUUUUAUGAGUCUGUCUUUACAAAGCAAGGCUUGGGCUCCUGAUGUUGUACGGUUUUUGUGAAGACCUGAAGACCCUGCAUUGCCUGUUCAUCUUCCCUGAAGAGGUGGAGUCUGCCUACCUUCUUGUGCAGCUUCUUCACCUAGUGACCCUGUGCUGCAGCCAGAGUACACCUACUACAGCAGCAACAGCUAUGAAGCUCAUGUUUCAGACACUGCACUACUAGAGGUUUUGAUGCCUGACAUUCUGAAUCCCAAAAGACUUUCAUUCCACUUUAAGAUUUUGGGAUGACUUAACAGAGUCAAAGAGGAAACAGCAACAUCUUUGGUGUUGCCAAUCUCUCCAGGGCAUCAUGUCCUGUGCCCAGGCUGGUUGGACAGAGCAGCCUGUCCAUCAGACACUGUGAGGAGUCUGCACAACCUCCGUGAGUGACAGCAUGGGUCAGAGCUCUCAGGGACCCUGGGACAUGUAACUGGCACGGUGGCCUGUCUUCUCACUGCUGUGAGCAUUACCAGAUUACAGGUAAUGUCAUAGGUCUGUGUAAAACUGGAGCAUCCAGGUCUACAACCUACAUCCACACAUCUCCUGGAGUCGGGGUACUACAAGCUACAAAAGUAAAUGAUACUAGCAAAAUCAGAUUUGUUUUACCUGUGAGAUAAUAAUACUAGUAAUUGGACAUGACUUGUGAUAAGAAAUAUUAGGAAUAAAAUUAAUUCAGGCAAGUUUAGUAAUUCUUUACAAUUUUAUCUCAGUAUUGUUCCUUGAAAAGAUGUGACAGAAAUAUUUUCACAACUUAUCAAAAGAUUUAAAGAGUUGCUUAAAUCUAUGA